AGGACGAACGCUGGCGGCGUGCUUAACACAUGCAAGUCGAGCGAGGCCCGUUCCUUCGGGAACGGUGCCCUAGCGGCGAACGGGUGAGUAACACGUGGGCAACCUGCCUCUAGCACUGGGAUAACUCCGGGAAACCGGGGCUAAUACCGGAUACGACCUCUGAGGGCAUCCUCCGGAGGUGGAAAGCAUUGUGGCUAGAGAUGGGCCCGCGGCCUAUCAGCUUGUUGGUGGGGUAACGCCCACCAAGGCGACGACGGGUAGCCGGCCUGGGAGGGCGACCGGCCACACUGGGACUGAGACACGGCCCAGACUCCUACGGGAGGCAGCAGUUGGGAAUAUUGCACAAUGGGCGAAAGCCUGAUGCAGCGACGCCGCGUGAGGGAUGACUGCCUUCGGGUUGUAAACCUCUUUCAGCAGGGACGAAGCGAAAGUGACGGUACCUGCAGAAGAGCACCGGCCAACUACGCGCCAGCAGCCGCGGUAA
rnacentral:rRNA from 1 species